rnacentral:rRNA from 1 species
CGUGGUGCUGACACUAGUACGAGAGGACCGUGUUGGACAGACCUCCGGUUUGCCGGUUGUACCGCCAGGUGCACCGCCGGGUAUCCGCGUCUGGAUUGGAUAAGCGCUGAAAGCAUCUAAGUGCGAAGCCAGCCGCAAGAUUAGGACUCCAUGAGGGUCGUCGUAGACUACGACGUUGAUAGGGUGCAGGUGUAAAGACGGCGACGUCAAAGCCGAGCACUACUAAUUGCCCGAAUACUUUCGCAU